rnacentral:rRNA from 1 species
ACGAAGGGGGCUAGCGUUGUUCGGAUUUACUGGGCGUAAAGCGCACGUAGGCGGACUUUUAAGUCAGGGGUGAAAUCCCGGGGCUCAACCCCGGAACUGCCUUUGAUACUGGAAGUCUUGAGUAUGGAAGAGGUGAGUGGAAUUCCGAGUGUAGAGGUGAAAUUCGUAGAUAUUCGGAGGAACACCAGUGGCGAAGGCGGCUCACUGGCUCGUAACUGACGCUCAUGCACGACAGCGUGGGGAUCAAACAGGA